rnacentral:rRNA from 1 species
GACGAACGCUGGCGGCAUGCCUAACACAUGCAAGUCGAGCGAGUUGAUCCCUUCGGGGUGAAGCUAGCGGCGGACGGGUGAGUAACACGUGGGCAACCUGCCUCAUAGAGGGGAAUAGCCUUCCGAAAGGAAGAUUAAUACCGCAUAAGAUUGUAGCUUCGCAUGAAGCAGCAAUUAAAGGAGCAAUCCGCUAUGAGAUGGGCCCGCGGCGCAUUAGCUAGUUGGUGAGGUAACGGCUCACCAAGGCGACGAUGCGUAGCCGACCUGAGAGGGUGAUCGGCCACAUUGGGACUGAGACACGGCCCAGACUCCUACGGGAGGCAGGAGUGGGGAAUAUUGCACAAUGGGGGAAACCCUGAGGCAGCAAUGCCGCGUGAGUGAUGACAGCCUUCGGGUUGUAAAGCUCUGUCUUCGGGGACGAUAAUGACGGUACCCGAGGAGGAAGCCACGGCUAACUACGUGCCAGCCGCCGCGGUAA